rnacentral:rRNA from 1 species
UAGGGAAUCUUCGGCAAUGGACGAAAGUCUGACCGAGCAACGCCGCGUGAGUGAAGAAGGUUUUCGGAUCGUAAAACUCUGUUGUUAGAGAAGAACAAGGACGUUAGUAACUGAACGUCCCCUGACGGUAUCUAACCAGAAAGCCACGGCUAACUACGUGCCAGCAGCCGCGGUAAUACGUAGGUGGCAAGCGUUGUCCGGAUUUAUUGGGCGUAAAGCGAGCGCAGGCGGUUUCUUAAGUCUGAUGUGAAAGCCCCCGGCUCAACCGGGGAGGGUCAUUGGAAACUGGGAGACUUGAGUGCAGAAGAGGAGAGUGGAAUUCCAUGUGUAGCGGUGAAAUGCGUAGAUAUAUGGGGGAACACCAGUGGCGAAGGCGGCUAUCUGGUCUGUAACUGACGCUGAGGCUCGAAAGCGUGGGGAGCAAACAGG